rnacentral:tRNA from 2 species
GGUAGGAUGGCUGAGGUUAAGCGGUGGUUUGUAGCUCCACAUACAGGGGUUGAAGUCCUCUUCCUAUCA